UGGGGAAUAUUGGACAAUGGGCGAAAGCCUGAUCCAGCCAUGCCGCGUGUGUGAAGAAGGUCUUCGGAUUGUAAAGCACUUUAAGUUGGGAGGAAGGGCAGUAAGCGAAUACCUUGCUGUUUUGACGUUACCGACAGAAUAAGCACCGGCUAACUCUGUGCCAGCAGCCGCGGUAAUACAGAGGGUGCAAGCGUUAAUCGGAAUUACUGGGCGUAAAGCGCGCGUAGGUGGUUCGUUAAGUUGAAUGUGAAAGCCCCGGGCUCAACCAGGGAACUGCAUCCAAAACUGGCGGGCUAGAGUAGGGCAGAGGGUGGUGGAAUUUCCUGUGUAGCGGUGAAAUGCGUAGAUAUAGGAAGGAACGCCAGUGGCGAAGGCGACCACCUGGGCUCAUACUGACACUGAGGUGCGAAAGCGUGGGGAGCAAACAGG
rnacentral:rRNA from 1 species